CCUACGGGGGGCAGCAGUGGGGAAUAUUGGACAAUGGGGGGAACCCUGAUCCAGCCAUGCCGCGUGUGUGAAGAAGGCCCUCGGGUUGUAAAGCACUUUCAGUGAGGAAGAACGCCUGGUGGUUAAUACCCAUCAGGAAAGACAUCACUCACAGAAGAAGCACCGGCUAACUCCGUGCCAGCAGCCGCGGUAAUACGGAGGGUGCGAGCGUUAAUCGGAAUUACUGGGCGUAAAGCGCGCGUAGGUGGCUUGAUAAGCCGGUUGUGAAAGCCCCGGGCCCAACCUGGGAACGGCAUCCGGAACUGUCAAGCUAGAGUGCAGGAGAGGAAGGUAGAAUUCCCGGUGUAGCGGUGAAAUGCGUAGAGAUCGGGAGGAAUACCAGUGGCGAAGGCGGCCUUCUGGACUGACACUGACACUGAGGUGCGAAAGCGUGGGUAGCAAACAGGAUUAGAUACCCUUGUAGUC
rnacentral:rRNA from 1 species